ACCGGCCCCCAAUCCAUCCUCCCCGGCCCGGCGGUCCCGUAGCGGCGGGCGCGGGCGGAGGCGAACGGAGCUACCGCGGCUUCGGCGGGAGGCGGCGAAGGGGCCGGCGGAAUAUAUUGAUGACACUUUAAUAUUUGGAAAGACCAUGAUUAGUACAUUCAUUGAGGUGUGACUUCAGUUUUCUGCAGAAAGUGAACCUGGUUCAACUUGGUUUGCCUCCCGUAUCACAGGUGUGUUCCUACAGCAGGGUUUUCACUUCUUCAUAAUAUUUGAAGUCU
rnacentral:lncRNA from 1 species